rnacentral:lncRNA from 10 species
CUCACUGCAACCUUCGCCUCCUGGGUUCAAGCAAUUCUCCUGCCUCAGCCUCCGGAAUAGAAAUGUGGAUCUGAGAGAAUACUUGUCUGAAGAAGUACAAGCAGUACACAAGAAUACCACCUAUGACCUCAUUGCCAACAUCGUGCAUGACGGCAAGCCCUCCGAGGGCUCCUACCGGAUCCACGUGCUUCAUCAUGGGACAGGCAAAUGGUAUGAAUUACAAGACCUCCAGGUGACUGACAUCCUUCCCCAGAUGAUCACACUGUCAGAGGCUUACAUUCAGAUUUGGAAGAGGCGAGAUAAUGAUGAAACCAACCAGCAGGGGGCUUGAAGGAGGCGUCUAGGGCUUUGCUCCCAAGGGCUGUGGCUGAUGAUGGUAAAUAAGAACACAGAAGCUGUAGCUGAACACAGGCUGGCUGGUGGGCUUCCUAGGCCAGCCCAGCUUGUAUGGGUUCUGGCUACACCAGAGCACCAAGAGCCCACUUGCCUGGGAUGGCCCCACACUGUCACUCAGCUGUUCUUUGAUCAUUUUUUUCUAGAUUGAUGCUCCUUUCUCCCAUGCAUUGAGCUCCCAUCUAGCUUCAGCAGGGCAGAACCCUUCUCCAGAUGUGUGUAACUUAUGUCUUGAGUAUCU